GAGCCACCAGGGAAGCCCACACCCUUUCAAAUGCAGAAGACUAAAGCCUUGAGAUGACUUUCUCCAGAGUGUGUCAGGAGAGUGGAAAAGUACAAUACAGUAAGGCAGGCAGAUUCUUAUUUUGGGGGGUACAUGCUCAGGAAAUACCAGGGGGGGGACCUGAGAUCUGACUCGACCUUGCACAUCAGAUCUCUGCCUCAUGACCUUGUCACGGGUGGGAUUCCUCGCGCUGGCUCCCGGCAAGAUGCAAAGGAUAAAACAUGUGAAAACAACUACAGUGGUGCCUGGCAUGUGACCAGCAUUCAGUCAUAUUCACUCCCUUAAUUCUUUCCUCUAUUUGAUAGUAAGUUCCUUGAGGGAAGGAUCGGGGCAUGGUCAUGCUGCAUUGCCCCAAGGCCUGGAAUACUGUCUAGAACAUUGCAGAUGCUUGAUAAAUGUUUAUUAGAUGUGCAACAGAAAGGGCUGGGGUGAAACUUUGGAGCUAACUCUUGGACCCUAGUAAAUUAAUAUACUAACUUUUUUAUGAAUUUCUCUUAAGAUGAGUGUGUUAGGAACACCUUAGUCUCAGCAGCAUUUAACAGAGACCCAAGUGACUGGGGCUAAAAAGAUACAAGUUGACUUCUCUCUCACAUAAAAGGCAGUGCAAGGCUGGUGUAAUGCCUCCAUUGUAUGUCCUGGUGGCCUUUGACCUCUUUGUCCAUGAUGGAGCAAAAGGAGUAAGGGGUGGUACAUUACCACUGUCUUUAAUGACACACCCAAGAAUCUCUCAUCUCUCACCUCCUAUUACCAGAAGUUCUUGCUACAACAGUGGCUGGGAAUGGAAUUUUUUUCCCAAGCAUCCAAGUGGCUUCAAUUACUUGGAAAGGGAGACUAGAUACUAGAAAACAGCCUGAAGUUUCUUCCACGGUCUUUCCUCUGUAAUAGUUUUUUUUUUUUUAAUGGAAUGAUCGCUGGCCUACUAUGCUGGGCCAUGAGGAUGGCAGCCACUUCCCAGUGAUGGAGCAGCGAAAGUCUAGAAGAAUCCUGACUCCCAGAUAAAUGAGGAGCCUCCAGAGAGUCGUCUAAAUUAUCCGUUUAUGGCCAGACAAAGAAAAAAAUGAGAAAAAUAUCAAGCAACUCCUCUCCCUGCUUCAGAAAUGACCAGCAGAACUCCACCUAACCACAGACCAGGUGUUUCCGGCUCACAUUCUUCUGCCUGACAGACCCCAACAUGGGAGCUCUGUGUCUUUCUGGUCACAACCAGAAUCUAGUGACUGAAAUCAGAAGAAUUUCACCUACUCCUAAGUGUGGGCAAGACCAGAAAAAAUGUAUAUCAAUCAUCAAGAGUCAAAAACUCGGCUUCAACAAUAUGUCGCUGAAAGUACUCCUGGCUGCUAUCAAGAGUAAGAAAUACCGUCCUGAGACAGAUGUCUGUUUCCUCUGCCAGGCUGGUGUGGAAGCCGACCCGUGUUUCCUCCCCCUUCCGAAUGCUGGGGAAGCAGCAAGGAGGUAUCAAGCAUUCUGCCUAAAACAUGUUUUCUCACCCCAGUGCUCUUGCCACUUCCAACGUCUUUAAAAAUAACAGCAAAAUGGCUCUGAAGUAGAUGGCAUUCAUGUGAGGUUGCCUAAACACUUUGCUAAGAAGAGAGCAUUGUAAGAAGAAACUAAAAAAUUGCAGCAUCGGAAGCUCAAGUCAAUUCUAUUGAAAGCUGGUCUUUUUUUUUUUUUUUCCAGAAGGUUCUGGAUGGAACAGACUGGACUCUUUCGAUAAGGGUUUUA